UCACUGCGCAUGUGCUUACGUCACUUCCGCUUGGGGGAAGGCCCUGCGACGCUUCCUCCCCCGAGCGUGGAGUGCGCACGCGGCAGUCGGGGAGGUGGUUUGGGGUGACGGAGUCCCGGUCCCGCUGCGCUUGGGUGAAUUUCUUUGUCUUGGUGCGUCGGCCGCGGCGUGCACGCUGCGGAGGAGGUGUGCUGGCGGCGCUCUGAGCCUGUGCGUUUGCGGACGGAGACUUCUGGAAGAAAUGGCAAUAAACGCGGGUGGUUACAGAGGCUUCACUGGAGAGAGUGGCGCCACCAAGCGCCUUUCCUGAGAACUACACUCAGCAUCUCAGCCUCAAACCACCUGAGCUUUGAAUUGUGUUUGUGAGUUAUCUGGACUUUAUCUCAAUUUAUUUUGUGUAUCCGUUGCCACGGUGUGUGGUAAGGUAUCAGAAGAACCGAAAAGGUGGUUUCUGGGGGAUCUGGAUCAGAAAUGUUUCCAUGUACAUGAACAGUAAUCGCUCCUUCAUAGGAAGACUUUUCCGCUUACAGUGGGCAUGCUCUACUUUGGAAGACCAGGGAACCUGUAUGUGGACUGUGCCUCCCUACGAGGAUCCACCAGUCCGGGGCACGUGGGUGAGACUGGAGGGCUGGAGGAGGUAGAAGGGCCUGCUCCUUGCUUGCUGAACAGUGCUGCGAGUGUCACACCAACAGCAAUUCUUUCUGGAAAUUUAAAAAUGGGCAGAGGAUCAGAAGAGACAUUUUUCCAAAGAAGACAUACAGAUGGCCAACAGGUACAUGAAAAGAUGGUCCACAUCAUUAAUCAUCAGGGAAAUACAAAUAAAAACCACAAUGAGGCAUCACCUCACACCUGCUAGAAUGGCUUUGAUCAAAAAGAACAGAACGAGAGCUGGGGUGGAUAUGGAGAAAAGGGAAUCCUGUGCACUGUUGGUGGGAAUGUAAAUUGGUACAGCCCCUAUGGAAAACAGUAUGGAUGUUUCUCAAAGAAUUAAUAGUAGAACGACUGUGUAUAAUCCAGCAAACCUACUUCUGGGUAUUGAUCCAAAGGAAGCAAAAAUACUAACUUGAAGAGAUAUCUGUUUAUAUUCAUAGCAGCAUUGUUUUUAUUUAUUUUUUAUUUUUUCAAUUUUUUUUAGGUUUUAUUUAUUUAUUUGACAGAGAGACAGAAAGAGAUCUCAGGUAGGCAGAGAGGCAAGAGAGAGAGAGAGAGAGAGAAGCAGGCUCCCCACUGAGCAGACAGCCCAAUGGAGGGCUCCAUCCCAGGACCCUGGGAUCAUGACCUGAGCCAAAGGCAGAAGCUUCCCUUUUCUCCAAACUUUAAAUCAGUGUGGUCCCACUUGCUUAUCUUUACCUUUAUUGCCUUUGCUUUUAGUGUCAGAUCCAAAAAAUCAUCACCAAGACCAGUGUCAAGGAGCUUAGUGCCUGGGUUUCCUUUGAGGAGUUUUAUGGUUUCAGAUCUUAAACAUUCAAGUCUUUAAUUCAUUAUGAGUUAACUUUUGUGUAUGGCAUGAGAUAGUGGUCUGGUUUCAUUCUUUUCCAUGUGGUGGUUCCAACUUUGUUUAUUGAAGAGACUGUUAAUUCCCUAUUGCAUAACCUUCACUCCUUUGUCAUACAUUAAUUGGUCAUAUAUGCAUUUCUUUCUUUGUAGGCUCUCUACUCUGUUCCAUUGAUCUAGGUAUCUGGUUUUUUUGUUUUUUUAAGAUUUUAUUUAUUUAUUUGACAGACAGAGAUCACAAGUAGGCAGAGAGUCAGACAGAGAGAGAGGGGGGAAGUAGGCUCCCUGCUGAGCAGAGAGUCCCAUGCGGGGCUCGAUCCCAGGACCCUGAGAUCGUGACCUGAGCCAAAGGCAGAGGCUUAACCCACUGAGCCACCCAGGUGCCCCUAGGUGUCUGUUUUUAUGUCCCACUAUACUUUGUAAGAUAGUUUAAAAUCAGGAUGUAUGAUGCUUCCAGCUUUGUUCUUUCUCAAGAAAUACUGGCUUUUUGGUGUCUCUAAUAAUUCUUUACAUUAAGUUUGCUGUUAAAACAAUGCACAGUGAGGCACCUGGAUGGCUCAAUCAAUUAAGAAUCUGACUCCAUUUCAGCUCAGGUCUUAGUCUGGGGUCAUGAGUUCAAGCCCCUACUUAAAAAAAGAAAGAAAGAAGGAAAGAAGGAGCAAAGGAAGGAAAAGGAGAGGAGAAAAGAGGAAAGAAAAGAAAGAAGACUGUAAAACAUAUAUGGUGACAUCAAUACUUGGUGCUUCCUCUUUGGCUUUGUAUGGCAUGGUUAUCCCCACUCGAAGACCUGUGAGUACAAUAAACUCCCUUGAAGAAGAGCCUCGUCCUCAUUUCUUCCUGUGGCUACACCAACUUUACCAUAUAUCUCCAACAUUUACACUCUCGGAACAAGUAUUAUAAAUUUGAUAAUUUUUCACAAAAUAUACACUUGAUUUAUAUUUAUUGUUAAAACACUAUUAAUGCAUGUUAAUUAUACCUAAAUAAAAACAUAUCAUGCAGAACACUGUUAGACUCUAGUGAAAAUUUAAAACGAAAUAUAAUACGUAUAUCAUACCAUUUCAGUUAAACCAUCACUUUCCUUUUCAAGCCUGCCUUUCUAAUUUUGUUCCAUAUACUUUCCUCUUUGUAAGAUUAACAAGAAAAUAUGAAUGAUCUACACUAAUUACAGUGCUCCGGUAUGUAAAAACACUUCCUUCUAUGUCAUUCUGAGACCUUACGAAGGAAAGGAGUGAUCAGAGAAACAGGAUGGAAACUAGAAGAGAGUCGUGUCCGGAUGCCCAGGAAGGAGAAUAUUUCUAGAAGGAAGCGAUGCGCCAUGUCAAAUGCUAGUGAAAGAUCCAGCAACGAGAGAUCUGAACAUGCUUAUUGGAUUUAGCAACAGGUUUUAAUAAAGUGUUGGCAAACCUUUCAAUCAGUUUGGCUGUGAGAAGGGAAGGAAAAUAAAGUGCUGGAGCUGGAGACACAAUGAGACUAAGAGAUGUGUUUUUUGUGUUUUGUUGUUUUUUUCUUUUUUUUUAGAUAAGAAAAACUUAACAAAUAUUUAAUUUUUAUUUAUUUAUUUCUAAGAUUUUAUUUAUUUAUUUUUGUGAGAAAGAGAGCAUGAGUGGUGGGGGUGGCAGGGCAGAGAGAGAAGCAGACUUCCUGCCAAGCAGGGAGCCUGAUGCGGGCAGCCCAACGCAGGGAGGACUCGAUCCCAGCAUGGUAGGAUUAUGACCUAAGCCAAAGGCAGACAUUUUAACCAACUCAUCUACAUAGGCACCCUGACUUACGAAUGUUUAAAUAAAGAUUGGGGGCAUCUAGUCGAGAGCAAAUACCUAAAUAUCCAGAAGAAGAAAUGAAUCAUUGGUAGAAUAAGGUUUAUAUGAAGGAGAGGAGGAGAUAAGGAUUGGUUUCAAUAGGAGGGACACCAACCACUCCAUUGGCAACAGGAAGAAGAUUGGUCCAGAUGUAGGUGGGUUAUUGUUUUUGUUUUGGGAAGAUGCCUGAGUUUUUCAAUAUAGACACUGACAAAGCAGAUAGCUGGAAUUUUUUUUUUAAGAUUUUAUUUAUUC